CUUCAGUGUUUACUGCAGUCUGAGGUGAACUCAAGCAGCACGCAUCCUCCCGGUAAUAACAAGACAGUCCCAAUGUAUUUCAUUUGGGCUCCAGCCUGUUUCGAUCUGAUCAAAUCAAAUCAAACCAUUGUGAUCGUUUCUGGAGUGGCUGUUUCUGCUGCUCUCUGCUGGACAUACAGAUGUGAGAAUGCUGAGCUGCAGAGAUCAAUAAAACAACUACAACAUGACAAGAAGCAGUUAAAUACAGAAAAUAAUGAGCUGAAGGGGGAAACUGGAGAAAAUACAAGGUGAGAAUGCUGAGCUGCAGAGAUCAAUAAAACAACUACAACAUGAAAAGAAGCAGUUAAAUACAGAAAAUAAUGAGCUGAAGGGGAAACUGGAGAAAAUACAAGGUGAGAAUUCUGAUCUAAAGAAGAAAAAUGAUAAACUACAAACCACAAUGAAAAACAUGAAAGGAGAACUGGAGAACCAGAAACAUCAACUUGAGGAAAAACGUAGAGAAGUUGAGAAUGAAAGGGAGAAAAAUAAAAACGAGCUUCAGUCAGAGGAAACUAAAAUAAGAGACGGAGAAAAUACUGAGGACAAAGAGUCAUUAUUAAGAAGAAAGGAGGAUCUCCUGAAGUCUCAGUGGAAACUGGAUGAGAACAAGAAACAUUGUGAAUGGCAGAUAUUAAACACAGAGAAACUGCUGGAACCGAUAGAGAUGCUGCUGUCAACACAAACAGAUAAAGAGGAGGAUGUUUAAAACAGCAUCUAGAGAAGAUCAUGCUAUAACUAACAACAACUACAGAAAAACUAUUAUAUUAACAAUAAUUGUUAUUUUACUUUCUGAGUCUUCCUGGAAUUAAAAUUGUUUUUAGAAAAAAUAAUAAAUCCAAUUCAGACAAGGUAAACAGCAAAGACCACCUUUGUUUUCUGAAUGGAACCGACAUCCAUCCAUCCAUCCAUCCAUCCAUCCAUCCAUCCAUCCAUCCAUCCAUCCAUCCAUCCAUCCAUCCACCCACCCAUCCACCCAUCCAUCCAUCCCUAGUUUUGAUCAAUUGGAUUUUAUUAUUAUCAUUUAGGUCUGUCAGUAUUAGUUGAUUUAAUUGGUUUAAGUUUCAGAUCUAUUUCUUGAAAUUAACUAUUGUGAUUUUUAAUGUUCUUUGUAAUAAAAACAUAAAUAAACACAGAAACUCCAUACUAGGAAUUGUGUACUUUUCAAUGUGCAAAUGUCUGUAUUGAAUAAAAAUAAUAA